AUAUACACACACACACACACACACAUAUACAAACCCUUCUUCUAUGGAAAGUUCAUUAAAUUCUAUCAAACAUUUUGCUAGAAGAUAUGCUAGCCAUUGUAGAAAAAACUAUUUUAAAAUAUUUCUUUCUCCCACUUCUCUGUCAAAUCAUCAGAAUUUGACUAGUCUAUGCCAGUGAUUUGAGUGACAAGGGAGAGCAGAAAAGACUUCCCACAGGUGAAGCCUGGAGGUGCAUAGGUGGAUGCUAAGCGAAGAGUAACACCCACGAAGCUCUAAAGAUGGCAGCGCUGGAACAGAGGUGAACAUGUCUUGAUAUUUUACAUUACAGGUUCACUUUGUUCACGUUAAUACCUGGGUGCUUCAGUUUUGUUCUCCUCCGUCCAUGAAAUCUUCAGUUUGCUCUUGUGUAGAAUUCUUUUGACUUGAUGGAUUGUUGGUAAAUUAGCUUAGCAACUGAAAUUGAUCUUUGCUUAAAGGGACAUGUGUUCUUGUGAGACAUCUGUUUCAUUCUGAAGGCAGAAAAGGCAGGUAAAAAUAUUUUUUUUUCAUAUUUGCCUGUUCUUCUUACCUGCCUUUUCCACGCCUAGCUGGGUGGGCGGACGUUGAUCCACUCAAUCAGUAUCCUAUUCCUAGGUAAGGUGUAAAAAUCGUCUCGGAAUUGGAAGAUCUCACAAUGGCAUUAGUGAUAUAGUGAGAAACAAAAUUGCACGGGUCUGUGAAUGUGCCUUACAUGCAUUCAUGACCAGCACUUAGGAGUACCUAGAUGACAGAGCAAUUCUACCCUGAUAAUGAGUUUUCUUUUACUUGUGCAAGGAUCUUUGAUAUAAUCCUUGGGAUGGCAAAAAAAGUGUGUGUAUUCAUAGGCCCAAAUUUGGUCAGUGCUGUGAUAAAUUAUUGUCCCUGCCUCUUUUCAAAAACACUUCUGCUUCUCUGCAUGAUAACUGGAGCCACAGAUUUUCUGGGUCAUGUGAGCUUCCUGUUCAGUCCUUUCCCAGAUCCCAGUGAUCCUUUGUAGUUUGUUGCUGAGCAGGCUAAAGUGUGCCAGAUCUUGAAACGUGCUCUAUUCCAUUUGGACACUGAAAGGGUUAAAGGGUUACUCAAAACAUCAUAAUCACUACAGCCAACUGCACAUACAGACUCUAGGCACCAUGACCACUUCAAAUCACUUAAGUGGUAAAGGUGCUUGGAGUAACCCUUUAAUGCAAUUGAUGAGCUAUUCAUAUUCACUAUUGGGAGACCACAUGAGUCGAAUUUGAAAAAAGACAGAUGCCCAAAGCAAAGUGGUACAGCUGACACUACAGCCUUCAUCAGGAGGCUGAGAGGACAUCACAGGUGAUUUGCAGAAAUAAUUUUAAAUACAUUUUCGUUUGAUAGUGAAUGGGCCCAUAAACUGCCAGUCUCAUUCACACAGAUACUAGCUACCUGCAAUAGCCAAAUGUCCUCUUCUUCCCACAGAAUUUUGUGGUGCAGAUUAUUACACCAGUAGAAAGAGAGGCCGCUGUGUGAGAGUUUAAAAAAAAUGGCUAUCCUGGGGUUGAUAGAUACAUGGACUAAUCGCAUAAGUAGCAGACAAAAAUCUCCAAAAUGUAAUCUCACUCACUAAACACCAGGGACUAAAUUUACAAAGUAAUAGCUUUUGAAAAUAAAAACUAUUAAAUACAGUGGGUUUAGUUACAGUAUGUGAUAAUACAUUGCAUACGCCCGCCACAAUGCUAAUGUGCCCGCUUAUUUUUGGUAGAUCCUAUUCUAACACCCUAGUGCCUGCAAUUAUGAGAUUAAUCCACUUACUUGGGAAAUCCAUUCUUCACGGCUCUCUGUAGUGCAAGUUUAAAUAGGGCACAUGACGGUUGCGUUCAAAACAGAGGAGUUGGCAUGGACUCCCAAAUAUAUUUUACAUAUAAAACCAAGGAGGCUGUGCUCAACUCAACAUCAAUACAUUAUAUGUGUGCUACUGGGUCCAAAAUAAAUAUAUAUAGACACGCACGCACACUCCUUGCUCUUUCGAUAUGCAGAGAAUAUGUUUGUCGUUAUUAUUUCCCUGACUCUCAGCAUCCUUUGCUCUUUUGUUUGCAGAAGUCUUGAGCAUGCACAUAGUUUUUCAUUCAUGGCUAGUGCUAGUUCACGUGAAAUUGAGAUGGGUGGAUUAGUGAGAAGGGAUAGGCUAAAGAAACUCCUCUUGCUCAAAGCGUGCCAUCGAAUGCAAACUGACAAAGUUUAAAGUAAGUUUAUAAACAUGUAUUACAUACUUUUCAAACUUUUGUUGCCUUGUUUAAGUUUGUAUAAAAGUUCUGGUUUAAAAGAAAAGUCAAGUGGUGCAUGUCCCUUCAAAUUAAAAGUAUAUUCAAACUAUUGUAGCCUACUUGUGUUCAUCUCUUCAUAUAUAUUUAUAGCCCCGACCUUCCUUUGUGUCUCAAUCAGAUAUUGAUUUUAUAUUAAAAAUAACAUCUAAAAUCCACCCCCGAGAUACGCUGCCCAAACGGUCGUUUCUGUCUUAAUGUUUUUCUUUAUCUAAUUAAACACUUCUUAUUGGACAGCUUUAUUGGGCGUACAGCACAUCUCAAUAACAGAGAUUUACCAAUCAAGUGCUGCUCAGUGACGGCACCUACAGGUUUUAUAAGAGAACAAUGUAAACACUGCCUUUUUUCGGAAGACUACAGAGACACACUAUAGACAUCAAAAACACUACUUUUUAGCUGUAGCGGUUCCUGUGAUUAUAGUGUUUCUUUAAGCUCUGCUCAUUGUCAACAUUUGCAGAUAACAUCUUCUAUAAGAAAAACUAGCCCCUGUUCUUUUUUUUUUUUUUUUUUAGGUAUACCUAAAAAACGAAGUUGAAUUUUAAAUAAAGAAAAAUUUGUAUUAGGCUACAGGUUUGCAAGCAAAACCUGCAAAGUGACUAAGCCGCUCUAAUUGUGUACCCUUUUAAUUUAAUUUUACUGUUCUUUAUCUUAUUUAGUUAUAUUAUUAACAUAACAGUCUGAGAUACUAUGGCCUCCAAAAGUGUAUUCUAGUUAUUACUUUUACUUUUUGUUUUUGAUAUCCUUUUUAUUUGUCUACUGACUCUGUUAUGCAUGUAGUUUGCAUAUACCGAAAGGGCAUCUGUAUGUGCCUAGAACUGGCAGAUCAGUUUUACAUUUGUAGAAAUUGGUUUAUCAUUUAAAAUUGAUAUAUUUUACAAUAUAUUUUCUAUGUAAUUAAAAUAUAGAAUUACGAAUUACUGCUAUAUAUAAUCUACCAUGUAAUUUCCAUUUGCAAUUGACCAAGAAAUAAAUAAAUUACUAUUUGCUCCAAUGGAUUUGUGCUAAAAUACCCUACACCCCCCAGUCUUUAUUAAUGGUACGAAAUUGUCCAUGCUUAUGUUUUGUGUAAGGUUGAAUGUAUGUGAUAAGUGUGUUCACUUUCAGCAUUAUAAUUUUGAGAGCAAUUCUGUUGAAUGGAGUAGAGCACCAUCACACCUAGCUUGAAAUGGCCAUACUUAUAUUUUCACAAUGCGAAUGGGGAAUUUAAGAAGAGUUUUUUUUUUUAAAUUUUGUUUGUUUCUCAGUUUAAUGCUUGAUGCUUCUCAGUGUUGAAUGAGCCCAUUACAUGCAGUAUGUUUUAUGUAAAUUACUGAUCUGUAACAAGCUUAAAUAUGUAAUUAUGCUGUUUUUUUAUAACAAACAAAAUCAAAUGUUUUAAUAAACUUAUCCGUGAAAUAAGUGUCUUUCUUUGAAAGCUACUGGCUAUUUAUUUGUGUGUCUG